GGUCAGGACGAACGCUGGCGGCGUGCCUAACACAUGCAAGUCGAACGGACGAGAGGAGCUUGCUCCUCGAGUUAGUGGCGAACGGGUGAGUAACGCGUGAGCAACCUGCCUUUCAGAGGGGGACAACGGUUGGAAACGACCGCUAAUACCGCAUGAUGUAUUCGGAUCGCAUGGUCUGAAUACCAAAGAUUUAUCGCUGAAAGAUGGGCUCGCGUCUGAUUAGAUAGUUGGUGAGGUAACGGCUCACCAAGUCUGCGAUCAGUAGCCGGACUGAGAGGUUGAACGGCCACAUUGGGACUGAGAUACGGCCCAGACUCCUACGGGAGGCAGCAGUGGGGAAUAUUGGGCCAAUGGGGGAAACCCUGACCCAGCAACGCCGCGUGAAGGAAGAAGGCUUUCGGGUUGUAAACUUCUUUACCAGGGACGAAGGACGUGACGGUACCUGGAGAAAAAGCCACGGCUAACUACGUGCCAGCAGCGGC
rnacentral:rRNA from 1 species